UGCAGUCGAACGAGAAGCUCAGGGCUUGCCCUGGGUGGAAAGUGGCGCACGGGUGAGUAACGCGUAGGCAACCUGCCCUCGAGUGGGGAAUAACCAUCGGAAACGAUGGCUAAUACCGCAUGAAGUCCCGAACUGCAUGGUUCGGGAUGAAAACUCUGGUGCUCGGGGAUGGGCCUGCGUCGGAUUAGCUAGUAGGUAGGAUAACAGCCUACCUAGGCGACGAUCCGUAGCUGGUCUGAGAGGACGAUCAGCCACACUGGCACUGAGACACGGGCCAGACUCCUACGGGAGGCAGCAGUGGGGAAUCUUGGGCAAUGGGCGCAAGCCUGACCCAGCCACGCCGCGUGGAGGAAGACACCCCUAUGGGGCGUAAACUCCUUUUAUAUGGGAAGAAAACCUUCCUCGGGAAGGCCUGACGGUACCAUAUGAAUAAGCACCGGCUAACUCCGUGCCAGCAGCCGCGGUAAUACGGAGGGUGCAAGCGUUGUCCGGAUUCACUGGGUGUAAAGGGUGUGCAGGCGGGGCGGUAAGUCAGAAGUGAAAGCCCACGGCUCAACCGUGGAAUGGCUUUUGAAACUGCCGCUCUUGAGUCUCGGAGAGGUCGCUGGAAUUCGUGGUGUAGCGGUGAAAUGCGUAGAUAUCACGAGGAACACCGGAGGCG
rnacentral:rRNA from 1 species